rnacentral:lncRNA from 1 species
UCGAUCAGAAGGAGGGUGAAGAUUUCUCCCCAGAGGAACUGCAUGUGGAUGCAUUGUCACCGCUGAUACAACUCACAGAAAAAAAAAAUAUCAUCAAGUGCUACAAUAAUCUCACUAAUAAAAAUAUUUAAUUUGUAAUAUUGUAUUAUUAUAUAUGGAUCAUCACAUACAGAUCAGAUAGAGAAAUCAGAUCUCCAUGUAAUCCGAAACGCAAAGCUUGUAAAAGCCCCUUAUGAAGUAUUAGGGUUGAGAUAAUUUUUCAUUAUGGCAUGGUUUAGAAAAACACCCAUCAUCCACCACCUACUUCAAAAUCAUGAAAGACUGAAUUUUUAUGGGUACUGAGAAACAAAUCAAGUGACAAUUGUGCAAAGUGAGACAAAAUUUGAGUGAUUUAAAAUGUCUUUGUAAAUUGUAAGUUUAGGCUUCAUACCAAGAUAUAAAUAUAUAUAUGUGUGAUGCUGAAGAUCGGAUAGUGAUUUUUUAUUGAACCUAUCUGUAUCUUCCCACAGCUUUAUUGAACCGCAAGCCAGUUAGAGAGAGAGAGAGAGUGAGUGAGUGAGUGACUGCAGCCUCACAUGCAAAGAUCGAUCGAUCUCAUGGAUGCAGUUCAAGAAAGCUGUGGAAGAAUACAAAGAGGAUCAUCGUCUAUGGAGGAAAUGGAGAGAGAGGGAGAGAGAGAGAGAGAAAGAGAGAGUCACCAAAGCCACACCACACAUAGAGAGAUAAGAUGCUUAGAAGCUUCAACCAAUCAGAGCUCUAAUCUGAGAUGAGGCAGAAUUGUCAAAAAGCAGAGAUAACAACAAAAACAAAAAAAAAACCCAAAAAGGGAGUUGCAGAAGAAAGCAGGAAGGGUUCCUAGCCCUGUUUAGGCAGAAGAGGAGGAGGUUAGAGGUGUAGGUUUAGGAGAGGGGAGAUGUUGAUAUUUAUAGUAAAACUUGAGGGUUUUUCUUUCUUUUUUUUUUCUUUUUACCAUCAAUCCCAAGAAGAAUAUUGGGCCUGAGAUUUCAGUCACAGAACACCCC